rnacentral:rRNA from 1 species
UACGAAGGGUGCAAGCGUUACUCGGAAUUACUGGGCGUAAAGCGUGCGUAGGCGGUUUCUUAAGUCCGUUGUGAAAGCCCUGGGCUCAACCUGGGAAUGGCAGUGGAUACUGGCAAGCUAGAGUGCGGUAGAGGAGAGUGGAAUUCCCGGUGUAGCGGUGAAAUGCGUAGAGAUCGGGAGGAACACCAGUGGCGAAGGCGGCUCUCUGGACCAGCACUGACGCUGAAGCACGAAAGCGUGGGGAGCAAACAGG